rnacentral:rRNA from 1 species
CAAUAGCGUAUAUUAAUGUUGUUGCAAGUUAAAAAGCUCGUAGUUGGAUUUCUGGGUUCUUCGCUACGCUUUGGUCCGCAAGGGCUUCAGUGGGCUGUUUGAAUCCAUCCUCAGGGGGACUCAUGCUGGUAUUCAUUUAUCGGUGUGGGAACGCCUGUCGUUUACUGUUGAACAAAAUUAGAGUGUUUCAAAGCAAGGUUGUACUUGAAUACAUUAGCAUGGAAUAAUAAGAUAGGACUUUGGUGGUUCUUUCGUAGAUAUUUUGUUGGUUUGCACGCCAAAGUAAUGAUUAAUAGGGAUAGUUGGGGGCAUUAGUACUUAACUGUCAGAGGUGAAAUUCUCCGAUUUGUUAAAGACUAACUU